UACGUAGGUGGCAAGCGUUGUCCGGAUUUAUUGGGUUUAAAGGGUGCGUAGGCGGCCUUUUAAGUCAGUGCUGAAAUACUCUAGCUUAACUAGAGGGGUGGCAUUGAUACUGAAAGGCUUGAGUGAAGUCGAAGUAGGCGGAAUUGACGGUGUAGCGGUGAAAUGCUUAGAUAUCAGGAGGAACACCAAUGGCGAAGGCAGCUCACUGGGACGGUAUUGACGCUGAGACGCGAAAGCGUGGGGAGCAAACAGG
rnacentral:rRNA from 1 species